AGUGAGCGGCAGAGCUCAAUUUGAAGCUGGCUCCCUCGGGGUCCGCAUUGUAAUUUGCAGAGGAUGCUUCGGGAGCGGCCCCCGUCUAAGUGCCCUGGAACGGGCCGUCAGAGAGGGUGAGAAUCCCGUCUGGGAUGGGGUGUCCGCGCCCGUGUGAAGCUCCUUCGACG
rnacentral:rRNA from 1 species